GGACCCGCACAAGUAGUGGAGCAUGUGGUUUAAUUCGAAGAUACGCGCAGAACCUUACCAACACUUGACAUGUUCGUCGCGACUUUAAGAGAUUAAAGUUUUCGGUUCGGCCGGACGAAACACAGGUGCUGCAUGGCUGUCGUCAGCUCGUGUCGUGAGAUGUUGGGUUAAGUCCCGCAACGAGCGCAACCCUCACUUUUAGUUGCCAUCAUUUAGUUGGGCACUCUGAAAGAACUGCCAGUGAUAAGCUGGAGGAAGGUGGGGAUGACGUCAAGUCCUCAUGGCCCUUACGUGUUGGGCUACACACGUGCUACAAUGGUAUCUACAACAGGAAGCAAAACGGCGACGUUAAGCAAAUCCCGAAAAGCCGAUCUCAGUCCGGAUCGGAGUCUGCAACUCGACUCCGUGAAGUCGGAAUCGCUAGUAAUCG
rnacentral:rRNA from 1 species